UACGAAGGGUGCAAGCGUUACUCGGAAUUACUGGGCGUAAAGCGUGCGUAGGUGGUGAGUUAAGUCUGUCGUGAAAGCCCCGGGCUCAACCUGGGAAUGGCGAUGGAUACUGCUCGCUAGAAUGCGGUAGAGGGUAGUGGAAUUCCCGGUGUAGCAGUGAAAUGCGUAGAGAUCGGGAGGACACCAGUGGCGAAGGCGGCUACCUGGACACAUUGACACUCAAGCACGAAAGCGUGGGGAGCAAACAGGG
rnacentral:rRNA from 1 species